rnacentral:tRNA from 1 species
GCGCGGUGGCCGAGUGGUUGGGACGCCGCGCUAGCAACCUGGUGGUCGUAGGUUUGAGCCCGGU